rnacentral:lncRNA from 13 species
AUGAAGUUGGGAUUCAGAUCCUACAUUCUACCUGUUAAUGUGGAAUGUAGAAAUGUAGAAUCCUUCCCUCUACACCCCACCGCUUCCGAAGAGUUAACACACCAUGUCGGCUUCACUACUGUGGCUUUAUGGGAAGUCUUUAAAUCAAUUAUUCACUCUCAGUUGUCUGGUCACAUUGCCGCAAACUGCAAAGUGGAAGUGACUGGGAAGAUGGAUGCCCAUCAACUUUUGCCCAGGUGUGUGGGCUCCUGUGUACAUGAUAGAGUGAGUGCCUUUUGCAAUAAAGAUCAAACACAUUGGUGCUGGCUUUCUAUGCGUUCCUUGUUUCUGUAG